GAGUUUGAUCUUGGCUCAGAUUGAACGCUGGCGGCAUGCCUUACACAUGCAAGUCGAACGACGCUAGGGGCAACUCUAGCGAGUGGCGAACGGGUGAGUAAUACAUCGGAACGUGUCCUGUCGUGGGGGAUAACCAGUCGAAAGACUGGCUAAUACCGCAUGACCUCGCAAGAGAAAAGCGGAGGACCGCAAGGCUUCGCGCGAUUGGAGCGGCCGAUGUCGGAUUAGCUAGUUGGCGGGGUAAUGGCCCACCAAGGCGACGAUCCGUAGCUGGUUUGAGAGAACGACCAGCCACACUGGGACUGAGACACGGCCCAGACUCCUACGGGAGGCAGCAGUGGGGAAUUUUUGGACAAUGGGGGCAACCCCUGAUCCAGCCAUGCCGCGUGUGUGAAGAAGGCCUUCGGUUGUAAGCAC
rnacentral:rRNA from 1 species